rnacentral:rRNA from 1 species
UGGGGAAUUUUGGACAAUGGGGGAAACCCUGAUCCAGCCAUCCCGCGUGUGCGAUGAAGGCCUUCGGGUUGUAAAGCACUUUUGGCAGGAAAGAAACGUCAUGGGUUAAUACCCCGUGAAACUGACGGUACCUGCAGAAUAAGCACCGGCUAACUACGUGCCAGCAGCCGCGGUAAUACGUAGGGUGCAAGCGUUAAUCGGAAUUACUGGGCGUAAAGCGUGCGCAGGCGGUUCGGAAAGAAAGAUGUGAAAUCCCAGAGCUCAACUUUGGAACUGCAUUUGUAACUACCGGGCUAGAGUGUGUCAGAGGGAGGUGGAAUUCCGCGUGUAGCAGUGAAAUGCGUAGAUAUGCGGAGGAACACCGAUGGCGAAGGCAGCCUCCUGGGAUAACACUGACGCUCAUGAACGAAAGCGUGGGGAGCAAACAGG